CUCUGUUUCUCUCUCAAAAAUAAAUAAGCAUUAAGAAAAAACCAAGCCAUCUUGUGCCCAAUAAGUGAGGAGCAGAUUGGCUGGUGUCUAGAGAGACUUCCUAUGUGCAGGCGGUGGAGGAGACAACAGAAGCGGAGGAGAGGACAGGGGGAGGAGAUUGGUUUAUUUGUGUCUUGGGCCCUGUACUCAUUGCUUCCUGGGCUGGGAUCAGUGUAUUUGUGUGCUCACCAUGGGAAGGACCCCUUCCGGGUUUCUUGUGAUGAAUUUCUGCCCAGAACCUGGGGGGCCCAUGUGGAAAGGAUCCCUCCUUCUUCCCACAGGGCCCCAGGGAGUCACCCACGCUAGGGUGCCUGUCCGCACCUACCCCCAGAGCUUCCUUGCGGGUCCAUUAAUUCUUAGAGCCCUAGGCAGGCACUAGCCUGCCUCAACCCUUCCCCCUUCAGAACUGCGAGGCUGCACCUGCCCCUGGGUGCACAGAUAGCAAACAUGCCCAGGGGUGUGAAUGAAAGAAAACCAAACCUGUCGUGACUUCUUUGUAAGGCUUCCCAGAUGAAUAAAUUUUAAAAGAAAACCAGAGCGAGGGGUUCUUCUUUCCCCACCUGGGGCAGCAGCACAGGAAAGAACCGGCCUCUCUUGUACUCCUUUACUUUGUCCCUUCACAGGUACGCGUCUCUGGGCCUCGUACCCCCGGAUCCAGUUUGGUCGUUGUUCUUUGUUGCUGGGUUUUCGUCCACUUUCUCUUGAGUGCUGAACGCUUCGUAGGCUAUUUGAGCCAUGCCGUCUUGCUCUUCUGAAACCCUUCUUCCCAAAAGAAUUCCUGAGCCCAGUUUGCCAAUUGGAAUGAAGGGAUUACAUCACAUUGCCCAUUUGAUUUCCGGUUUGAGAAUGGGAGGGGGGUCCAUUCUUCGACUCUUCCUUGGAAGGAGGAGGAGAAGAGCUGUGUGUAAAGAUGUUCAGGCCGUCCCACUCUUAUCUCCUUGGGAUUCCUGAGCUUGCUGGCAAAGUUUGCUCCGAUUCUGCGUGAACUUAGGCUACCUCCCUCCGUUUCCAUCUCCACAAGAAAGAUGACCUAGGUAUUCGUUUUCUUCAGAGUGACGUUAAUGUGAAAAAAUAAAGAGCGAGCUAGCUUUAAGGGCCUUAGUGAGCCCCUCAUUUCGCAGAUGAGGAAACAGAAGGGCAAAGAGUUCACACAGCUCCCCUGACUGCUGGGUCAGUGGCCUCCCCGCCCUCAGGCUGCUCAGCUCUUGAAAUAACUCAUCUGGAUAUUCCCUUCUGCAGGACAGAGCAUGUCUGCCCAGAAACUUAACCCCUUAUUCCCACUCCUGCACCAUUUGGACCCAAGCAUGUUCCCUGGAGAGCUGCUCAAGCCAUUCGCCCACAGUAGCCCCAGAGGGCCUCUGCUCCCUCUUGAGAAACUGUCCUGGUCGGACUUGGACCUGCAGGGGCAGGCAUAGCCCUCACACUCUGGCCGUGGGGCUUUCUCCUUUUACGGCCCCUUCGUGGUGCAGGGCCCUGGGUGAAAGGCAAGACCCUUCCCCACCUACAGAAACCCGAGGCAGACCUCCCUCUGAUGGCUGGUCCCGCCCCCAUCACCCCCAAGACGUCCACAUGACCCAGCACACGGACGGCCCCGCUGUGAGUGAGGCUGCUUGUGGCUGGGGUCCAGAAUCACACUUGAUUCUUUUGUGUGAUUCAGAAGAUUCCCAUUUGUAAACUCCUCUGACACUGAGCUGCAAUGCCAACCCACCUGGUCGGCCAGCUUGUUCUGCAGGAGGAGAAUGAAAGUGACUUGGCAGGUCCCUGCCCAGCCCUUGCAAUUCUUCAAGACCAACUGGCAGCGGCCAGACAUCCCUGCAAGGAGUGCGAGGGAGCCCACGUCCCAACUAACACCUACUGUGUGGCAGUCAGUAUCUUAAGUGACAACAACAAUGGCUAACAUGUGAGGGAAACCUUGUUAUGUGCCAGGCUUUACAUGCAUGAUCUCAUUUGGGCUUUAUAGCCUGAAUAAUAUAAUCAGAUGAGACAAGUGCUAUAAAAGCUUUAUUUUAGGGGCACCUGGGUGGCUCAGUCGGUUAAGCGUCCGACUUCAGCUCAGGUCAUGACCUCACGGUCCGUGAGUUCGAGCCCCGCGUCGGGCUCUGGGCUGACAGCUCAGAGCCUGGAGCCUGUUUCAGGUUCUGUGUUUCCCUCUCUCUCUGCCCCUUCCCCGCUCAUGCUCUGUCUCUCUCUGUCUCAAAAAUAAAUAAAAACGUUAAAAAAAAUUUUUUUUUUAAAAAGGCUUAUUUUACAAGCGGGGAAACUGAGACUCAGCAAAGUUAAGAGUCUUGCCUAAGAUCAUAGAUCUAGUAAGAGGCAGGAUGUGGAUUUGAACCCAAACCGUCUAAUCAGACACUAACUCAGCGUCCCCGUGACCCCACAGGGGCCGUUAUUAGCCACAUUUUACCGAUGAGACUCUGAGCAAACCAGGCAGUUGCCUGAGAUUCCACCACCCGUGAAUGGUGAAAAACCGGGCCUUUUCAGGCUUCAAAUUCUGUACUUGCCUCACCAUUCUUGCUUCAUGAGUGAUGGCAGCUGCCCUGGGUUAGACCGGAAUGGCUGGGUGUGGCUUGCUCCUAGAGGCUUCCAGGGGCUGCCAACCUCCUGCAACCGUGGUGCCAUCUUGCCAAUGCCAUUGGGCCCACGGGGCUGGCAUCCUGGGACCAGGCUGGGGUCCCUAGCCCCGGGGCAAGUGAAAGGACACCUCAUGCAGACAAAGUGCAACCUCAACCUUUAAAAACGUUUUAAUUUGAUGAGUACUUUUUUCUUAAUGUUUUAAAUGUUUAUCACAUUCAUAAGGUAAAAUCUGUACACGGUAAAAUUCACCUAUUUUAAAUGUACAAAUUGAUGAGUGUUGACAACUAUGUACAUUCAUGUACUCCCCACCAUAAGGUAUAAAUCACAGCCGAGGGAUAGAACAUUUCCUUCACUUCGAAAGUUCCCUUGUACCUUUGCAGUCAGUCCCCCGUCCCUACCCUCGGUCCCGGGCAAUCAGCGAUCUGCUGUCAUUUUAGCUUUUGCCUUUUAAAAAUAUUAUGUAAAUGGAAUCAUACUGGUAGUGUUUUGUGUCUGACUUCUUUCAUUUGGCAUAAUGCUUUCAGGAUUCACCCAUGUUGUUGUACGUACCUCUGGUUUAUUCCUUUUUUGCUAAGUAGUAUUCUGUAAUACAAGUAUCACACAGUAUUUUUGUUUACCCCCUCACCAGUUGAUGGACAUUUGGGUUGUUUCUAGAUCUGGGCUAUUAAUAAUAAAACUGCUCUAAAUAUUUACAUACGAGUUUUUAUGUGGAAAUAUGUUUUCACUGCUCUUAGGUUAGUGUGUGUGUAACUUGAUGGGAAGCUGCUAAAAUAUUUUUCUGAGUGGCUAUCCAUUUAGCGUUCCCACCAAAUGGGAGGAGCGUUCCGGUUUCUGUGUAGCGUUUCCACCAAUGGUAAGAGAUUUCCAGUUUCUGUAGCGUUCCCACCAAUGGGAAGGGUGUACCAGUUUCCGUGUAGCGUUUCCACCAAUGGUAAGAGAUUUCCACUUUCCAGGUAGCGUUCCCACCAAUGGGAAGAGCGUUCCAGUUUCCGUGUAGCGUUCCCUCCAAUGGGAAGGGCGUUCCGGUUUCCGUGUAGCGUUCCCACCAAUGGGAAGAGCAUUCCAGUUUCCGUGUAGCGUUUCCACCAAUGGUAAGAGAUUUCCACUUUCCAUGUAGCGUUCCCACCAAUGGGAAGAGCGUUCCGGUUUCCGUGUAGCGUUCCCUCCAAUGGGAAGAGCGUUCCGGUUUCCGUGUAGCGUUUCCACCAAUGGGAAGAGAUUUCCACUUACCAUGUAGCGUUCUCACCAAUGGGAAGAGCAUUCCAGUUUCCGUGUAGCAUUCCCUCCAAUGGGAAGGGCGUUCCGGUUUCCAUGUAGCAUUCCCACCAAUGGGAAGAGAUUUCCGGUUCCCGUGUAGCGUUCCCACCAAUGGGAAGAGCGUUCCGGUUGCUCUGCAGCCUCACCGACAUGUAGUCUUGUCGGUUUGGUGCAUCUGAGCCAUCUUGUGUGCGUGUAGUCGUGUCUCUUUGCAGUUUUAAUUUGCAUCUACCUAAUCACGAAUGUGCGUAUUAGCCGCUCAUAGAUCUUUUCUGGUGAAGUGUCUGUUCAAAUCCUUUGCCCAUUUUUUUUUUUUAAUUGGGUCGUUUGUCUUAUUACUUAAUUCAGCAGUACCUUUUAAUCUCAAAAUGUGAACUCACAAAUGCUUUUCUGCUGGAGGCCGCGUGGUACUGUGGUUAGGACACGGGCUUCUGUAGACCGUGUGCAUGUGGAUGGCAGGCCCGUCAUGGGUAGCUGUGCAGUACUGAGCCAGUUCUGGAGCUGUCUGUUUUCCCAUCCGCAAAUUGGAGGUGACCACGAAACCCGUGUCCCAGGGAUGUUGUGAGACUUGAAGGAGACAAUCUUAACACAGCACCCGGCAUGGUAAACGCGCGGCACGUUAGCUGCUUUAUUAUUGCUAUUAUUAAUUCAAAACGAGUUUCUAAAGAGAGACGUUUCAGUGAUGGCAGUGGGUGCGGAUAAAUCACUCCGAGUGUUGACAACGUUGGGUACAACGGGGACCCAGUGGCCCUGUAGUCACUACACGCAGGUCUGCACUCACAAGGGGCUGCUGCCCUGGAAUGCUGUCAAGCAGCACCUGGAGGGACCGCUCCCACCAGGCCCCAAGGGAGCCGCUGGCGCGAAGGGCAGAGGAAAAAGGGAGGUGUGGCCAUCGACCAGCCUCUGCAGGCUGAAGGCCAAACUCCCCACCCUUCCUGUCUCCCCUUUUCAAGACCAAGGAAGCCAGCAGUUUUGCUCUAUAAAACCCAAUAGACCUUUCAAGUGAAGCAAAUAACUCAGGCAGAUGGUUUUCUUUUCUCUUCUUUGAAGGAUGUGGCAAGACGAGAUGGGAAAGAUCAUUAAAUAAGAGCUUCAGGACCUCCGGCCCCUCCCAGCUGGGUAGGCUUCCAGGGCAGGUGGAGCCUGUCCCGUGUAUGGGGCCUCUAGGACGCAUCAGAGAUCACAGACUCCUGCCGAGAGCAGCCUGGGCAGCAAAGGUGUGGAGGACGGUGGCAGAGGUCAGGGCAGAGCUGUGGGCCUCAGAUCCAUUGGGGAAGGCGCCAUUCUACUUUGGCAGGGGACCCGUGCCUCCCUUUGCCUCAGUCUGCUCCUUGGUGAAACGCGUCCGAAAAUAUCGACAGGCGAGCACAAAGAUUCAACCACUCUAGAUAGAGAAAUGGACAGAUUUUAAGGAUGUUUUAGAUAGGUCAUGUUUGAGGAUAGAUUGGGUUGUUAAAGCUGGAGACGACAGAUGCCAGGGAUGGGAAUACGAAAUUAUAAUGGAUUGCCCAGCUCCGAGCAGAGGUUGGAGGGUCAGACUGCCAAGUAUUCGACUGGGCAAGGAAGAUCUCAUUCCUUGCCCCUUCCUAGCCCUCCAGUUAUGAUUGCAGUGACCUUGGAUGAGUCAAUGAGCCUUAAUGAAAAUAUUCAGCUCUGGUAUGCCCAGAGCCAACCCUGGCUGACACUUUGUUUCCAUUUUCACUCCAAGGUCCUGAUCUAUAUUUAUCAAGCUUUCACAAUGUCAGCCCAGUGCUGUUGGCUAGUACCGUGGCGUCAUUCGUUUCUUCAUUCAUUCAUUUACUGGCAUUUCUCAAGCACUUAACGUGGCCCAGGCAAUGGGCUAGGGGAUGGGGACAUGAAUAAGACAUGGUCCCUGUGCUCGGAGGUUACAGCAGAAGGAGACAGUCUUGCAAAACUGUGGGUAUUUGAUAAGCUCUCCGAGUUCCAGCCUCCUUUCAUUACCGCAAACACCUGUUCUCGGUUCUUGGCCUUUGCGUCAGCUCUCCUUGGAAUGCUCUUGGCCACCCCCUCCCCUCCCCACCGCAUCUCACUCGCAUCCCUUCUGCUUAGUUUUCAGAGCUCAGUUUAAACACCAUCGUCAGGUCAGGUCCCCUUGUCACUUGCUCUCCCUGUCCUUUCCCCGGGGAUCCUUCUCCUCCCUGGUGAACAAUCAACUGGGGUAAGAAUAAUGAUGACCGUGGAACUCAUGGCUCCCUCACUAGGCUGUAGCUUCCGUUAUGGAAGAACUAGUUUAUUGUUCUGUCCUGGCCCGGGGCCUGGAGGGACAGGAAGAACAGAUGGAUGGAUGAAUGAAUGAAUGAAUGAAUGAACGAGGCCAAGAUGUGGUAAAACCACAGGAGGGAGCAGGGAGGGAGCGGAGGGCCCGGCCGUGCACCCUGCCUGCGGUGACCCAACCUGCAGAGCGUCCCCAGGGGCUCCCUGCUAAAAGUCCAGCCCCAGAGGUGGAGGGAGGAGGGGAGGGCAGGGGAGCUGCUGUAACAGGAGAGGCUGCAGCUGACCGGGAGGCAGGCCCAGGUCCUUGGGUGACUCGUUCUAAUCUUAGAAGGCAUGUCUCCGCUUUCUGCUGCGGCCUGAAGGACAAAUGUCCCGGACCCCAGGACACAUGCUCACUGCCACGUUCACCCCGGAAGCAGGAACGGCUUCUAAUUAGGUUCUCGUGCGGGGCCCCCAGGGGGCUGCGGCUAUGACCCCCGGGGGUGGUGGCUCCCUGGGCCCCACCCCGCACCUCAAACUUGAGGGGCUCUCAGUGAAACGGGCCUUGUUACGGCACUAAGCAGUGUGAGACAGGGCCCUUCUGAACUCACUGGAGAGCCACGGAUAGUAGGUUGAUUUGUCGGCCUCGGUGGGGGAAAACCCACCAGAAGAGCCCUGCCGGCUAUGCGGAGUCAGUUCUUUUAAACACUCCCUUUUGGCCUACAAAUUAUAAACAAAAACAAGAAGCCGAGCUGUUCAGAGGCCGCCCGACAGGCAAGGCUGGGGGGGGGCUGCCGCUCCUCUGCACCUCAGCUCACCUUGUAGCAGGAGCCAGGUUUCAAACCGAGGGUGCAGACUCCAGAAAUCCCCGGCAGGCACUUGGGGGGGGUGGGCGGUGCGGGGGCUGACCCCUGACCCUCCUGAGAGCCCUCCGCUCCUGGGGCUGGCCCUGCCUCUCACCACCCAGCUCUUCUCCCCGGGCUCCCCUCUCUGGAAAGGGAGCCCCUGUCUGCCAGAGACGUGGGCAGGAUCCUGACUUCUCCCCGCACCACCUGGACAGGCACCCAUCCUGGUUGGGAAUCCUUUCUCCCAAAGUGCUUUUGAGUCCUGUCCCUUGCCAGUCUGGGAAGAUUCCCUAGUCUGGCAGCCCAGACUAGGCUUUACGGCUGUAAAGCCAUCCUUAAGACAGCCACUGAAUCCCAGAUGGACGUUUUGCUCACGGUCUCCUCUGAGCCCGGGUCUCUGCCCCUGCGGAGUCCUGGUCCUCACUCUUCUGCAAGGCCGGCAGCCCUAAGCGCCCCAUCGGCCCGCUCACCCACAAACCCCUGGAGUCUGGCCGAGGGCCUGCCGUGUGGUAAGGGCUCGUUUACAUCUUCUGAGCGGGCGAACCCACAAACUCUGCGGCCUGACGCUAUUCCUUUACCCACGAAAGGUGGGCCGUAGACGCUUGGGAUUCUCACCCCUCAAGAAAACACAAUAGGGGCGCGUGGGUGGUUCAGUGGGUUAGGUGUCCGACUUCGGCUCAGGUCAUGAUCUCGUGGUUCGUGAGUUCGAGCCCCGCAUUGGGCUGCGUGCUGACAGCUCAGAGCCCGGAGCCUGCUUCGGAUUCUGUGUUUCCCUCUCUCUCUGCUCCUCCCUCUGCCCCUCCCUCCCUCACAUGCUGUCUCUCUGUGUCUCUCAAAGAUGAAUAAAGGUGAGAAAGGAAGGAAGGAAGGAAGGAAGGAA